AAUAUUGGACAAUGGGGGCAACCCUGAUCCAGCCAUGCCGCGUGUGUGAAGAAGGUAUUCGGAUUGUAAAGCACUUUAAGUAGGGAGGAAGGGCUUUAGGCUAAUACCCUGAAGUUGUGACGUCACCAACAGAAGAAGCACCGGAGAACUCUGUGCAAGCAGCCGCGGUAAUACAGAGGGUGCAAGGGUUAAUCGGAAUUACUGGGCGUAAAGCGCGCGUAGGUGGUUCAGUAAGAUGGGUGUGAAAUCCCCGGGCUUAACCUGGGAACUGCUUUCAUAACUGCUGAGCUAGAGUACGGUAGAGGGUAGUGGAAUUUCCUGUGUAGCGGUGAAAUGCGUAGAUAUAGGAAGGAACACCAGUGGCGAAGGCGACUACCUGGACUGAUACUGACACUGAGGUGCGAAAGCGUGGGGAGCAAACA
rnacentral:rRNA from 1 species